rnacentral:rRNA from 1 species
AUUGAACGCUGGCGGCAGGCCUAACACAUGCAAGUCGAACGAGUGGCGGACGGGUGAGUAAUGUCUGGGAAACUGCCUGAUGGAGGGGGAUAACUACUGGAAACGGUAGCUAAUACCGCAUACAUUCAGAUGUGCCCAGAUGGGAUUGGCUUGUUGGUGGGGUAACGGCUAACCAAGCCGACCAUCCCUAGCUGGUCUGAGAGGAUGACCCGCCACACUGGAACGGAGACACGGUACAGACUCCUACGGGAGGCAGCAGUGGGGAAUAUUGCACAAUGGGCGCAAGCCUGAUGCGGCCAUGCCGCGUGUAGGAAGAAGGCCUUCGGGUUGUAAAGUACUUUCAGCGGGGAGGCGUUACCCGCAGAAGAAGCACCGGCUAACUCCGUGCCAGCAGCCGCGGUAAUAC